rnacentral:rRNA from 1 species
UACGAAGGGGGCGAGCGUUGUUCGGAAUUACUGGGCGUAAAGGGCGCGCAGGCGGCUCUGAAAGUCAGAUGUGAAAGCCCCGGGCUUAACCUGGGAACUGCAUUUGAUACUCUAGAGCUUGAGUACGGGAGAGGAGAGUGGAAUUCCCAGUGUAGAGGUGAAAUUCGUAGAUAUUGGGAAGAACACCGGUGGCGAAGGCGGCUCUCUGGACCGUAACUGACGCUGAGGCGCGAAAGCGUGGGGAGCGAACAGG